GCCGGUGUAGCUCAGCAGGUAGAGCAGUGGAUUCGUAAUCCACAGGUCGGGGGUUCGAGUCCCCCCGCCGGCUCCA
rnacentral:tRNA from 1 species